rnacentral:rRNA from 1 species
GUGCCAGCAGCCGCGGUAAUACGUAGGGUGCGAGCGUUGUCCGGAUUUACUGGGCGUAAAGAGCUCGUAGGUGGCUUGUCGCGUCGUCUGUGAAAGUCUGGGGCUUAACUCCGGGUGUGCAGGCGAUACGGGCUGGCUUGAGUGCUGUAGGGGAGACUGGAAUUCCUGGUGUAGCGGUGGAAUGCGCAGAUAUCAGGAGGAACACCGAUGGCGAAGGCAGGUCUCUGGGCAGCCACUGACGCUGAGGAGCGAGAGCAUGGGUAGCGAACAGGAUUAGAUACCCUGGUAGUCCAUGCUGUAAACGGUGGGCGCUAGGUGUGGGGACUUUCCAUGGUUUCCGUGUCGUAGCUAACGCGUUAAGCGCCCCGCCUGGGGAGUACGGCCGCAAGGCUAAAACUCAAAGGAAUUGACGGGGGCCCGCACAAGCGGCGGAGCAUGUGGAUUAAUACGAUGCAACGCGAAGAACCUUACCUGGGUUUGACAUGCACUAGAUUAGGCGAGAGAUCGUCUGUCCCUUUGUGGCUGGUGUGCAGGUGGUGCAUGGUUGUCGUCAGCUCGUGUCGUGAGAUGUUGGGUUAAGUCCCGCAACGAGCGUAACCCUUGUCUUAUGUUGCCAGCACGUUGUGGUGGGGACUCGUGAGAGACUGCCGGGGUGAACUCGGAGGAAGGUGGGGAUGACGUCAAAUCAUCAUGCCCCUUAUGUCCAGGGCUUCACACAUGCUACAAUGGCCGGUACAGUAGGUUGCGAGACCGUGAGGUGGAGCUAAUCCUUUAAAGCUGGUCGUAGUUCGGAUUGGGGUCUGCAACUCGACCCCAUGAAGKCGGAGUCGCUAGUAAUCGCAGAUCAGCAACGCUGCGGUGAAUACGUUCCCGGGNCAUGCACUCACCGCCCGUC